GACGAACGCUGGCGGCGUGCUUAACACAUGCAAGUCGAACGGAAAGGCCCUGCUUUUGUGGGGUGCUCGAGUGGCGAACGGGUGAGUAACACGUGAGUAACCUGCCCUUGACUUUGGGAUAACUUCAGGAAACUGGGGCUAAUACCGGAUAGGAGCUCCUGCUGCAUGGUGGGGGUUGGAAAGCUUCGGCGGUUGGAGAUGGACUCGCGGCUUAUCAGCUUGUUGGUGGGGUAGUGGCUUACCAAGGCUUUGACGGGUAGCCGGCCUGAGAGGGUGACCGGCCACAUUGGGACUGAGAUACGGCCCAGACUCCUACGGGAGGCAGCAGUGGGGAAUAUUGCACAAUGGGCGGAAGCCUGAUGCAGCAACGCCGCGUGCGGGAUGACGGCCUUCGGGUUGUAAACCGCUUUCGCCUGUGACGAAGCGUGAGUGACGGUAAUGGGUAAAGAAGCACCGGCUAACUACGUG
rnacentral:rRNA from 1 species